rnacentral:rRNA from 1 species
AGCUCCAAUAGCAUAUAUUAAAGUUGAUGUAGUUAAAAGCUCGUAGUUGGAUUUAUGGCUGCUUAGGUGGGUCCGCUCUUACGAGUGUGCACCAAACAUGUCUGGCCAUCCUUUGGGAGAGCCAUAGUGACAUUAAGUUAUUGGUGUGGGGAUCCCAAUCAUUUACUGUGAAGAAAUUAUAGUGUUCAAAGCAGGCUUACGUCGUUGAAUAUAUUAGUAUGGAAUAAUAACACAGGAUUAUUGUACUAUUUUGUUGGUUUGCGCAGAAUAGUAAUGAUUAAUAGGGACAGUUGGGAGUAUUUGUAUUCAAUUGUUAGAGGUAAAAUUCUUGGAUUUUUUGAAGACAAACUACUGUGAAAGCGUUUACCAAAGAUGUUUUCA